rnacentral:rRNA from 1 species
ACGCACGUGUGAAACUUGAAGGCAUUGACGGAAGCGGUUCACAAGAACGCGUGGAGCAUGUGGCUUAAUUUGACCCAACGCGGGAAAUCUUACCGGGUCCGGACACACUGAGGAUUGACAGGCAAUAUUAAUAUAUUGCAACUUGUUGUUUAUAUAUUAUGUUAAAUAUGCUAGUCCUUUCAUGAUUAUGUGAUAGGUGGUGCAUGGCCGUUCUUAGUUCGAGGAGUGAUCUGUCUGCUUAAUUGCGUUUCACUAAGGGCUUAUAAAUUUACGUGUGUUGUGGGUACUUUGACCCCUACGUUGAAAUAUUACGUAGUGCGUGUCUUAGUUUUUACUUUCACUCACACAAUUAAGUCCUGAAAGCAACGAACGUGACCG